rnacentral:rRNA from 1 species
CGCGGCCUAUCAGCUUGUUGGCGGGGUAACGGCCCACCAAGGCAUCGACGGGUAGCUGGUCUGAGAGGAUGAUCAGCCACACUGGGACUGAGACACGGCCCAGACUCCUACGGGAGGCAGCAGUGGGGAAUCUUGCGCAAUGGGCGAAAGCCUGACGCAGCAACGCCGCGUGCGGGAAGAAGGCUCUCGGGUUGUAAACCGCUUUCAGCAGGAACGAAAAUGACGGUACCUGCAGAAGAAGGUGCGGCCAACUACGUGCCAGCAGCCGCGGUGACACGUAGGCACCAAGCGUUGUCCGGAUUUAUUGGGCGUAAAGAGCUCGUAGGCGGUUCGGUAAGUCGGGUGUGAAAACUUUGGGCUUAACCCAAAGCGUGCACCCGAUACUGCUGUGACUAGAGUUCGGUAGGGGAGCGGGGAAUUCCUAGUGUAGCGGUGAAAUGCGCAGAUAUUAGGAGGAACACUGGUGGCGAAGGCGCCGCUCUGGGCCGAUACUGACGCUGAGGAGCGAAAGCGUGGGUAGCAAACAGGAUUAGAUACCCUGGUAGUCCACGCCGUAAACGUUGGGCACUAGGUGUGGGUUUCAACCAACGAAAUCCGCGCCGUCGCUAACGCAUUAAGUGCCCCGCCUGGGGAGUACGG